rnacentral:rRNA from 1 species
AGUGAACGCUGGCGGUAGGCCUAACACAUGCAAGUCGAACGGCAGCACAGUAAGAGCUUGCUCUUACGGGUGGCGAGUGGCGGACGGGUGAGGAAUACAUCGGAAUCUACUUUUUCGUGGGGGAUAACGUAGGGAAACUUACGCUAAUACCGCAUACGACCUACGGGUGAAAGCAGGGGAUCUUCGGACCUUGCGCGAUUGCAUGAGCCGAUGUCGGAUUAGCUAGUUGGCGGGGUAAGGGCCCACCCAGGCGACGAUCCGUAGCUGGUCUGAGAGGAUGAUCAGCCAAAAUGGAACUGAGAAACGGUCCAGACUCCUACGGGAGGAAGAAGUGGGGAAUAUUGGACAAUGGGCGCAAGCCUGAUCCAGCCAUACCGCGUGGGUGAAGAAGGCCUUCGGGUUGUAAAGCCCUUUUGUUGGGAAAGAAAAGCAGCAGGUUAAUAACCCGCUGUUCUGACGGUACCCAAAGAAUAAGCACCGGCUAACUUCGUG